GCCUUAACAGUGACCGGAGACCCUCCUAGGGGAACUUCCGAGUUAAAUUUCUGCCUGGGGAGAAGUUUACCAGAAUGUACUGAAUGGAGACACCAAAUUCAGGGUUAAACUAGCAGUUCUAACCCGUGACUGCAUUUUAGAAUCACCUGGGAAGCUUUUCCCCAAAACACCACUACCCAGGUCCCACCACAGAUGUUCGGACCUAAUUAAGGCCCAGGCAGCAACUUCUUUUCCCUUUUUCUUUAACUUCUUACUGAAGUAUAACAUUUAUACAGAAGAGCACACAUAAGCCUAAGGCUCUAUGAAUCUUUUUAAAUUAAAUGCACCUGAGUAACCAGCAGUCUGCUGAGGAAACAGUUUUACUCUCCUCCUCUGAGCCCGGGGAUGGUGUUCAGUCACUGUGCCCCAUGGAGGAGAACCAUGCUCUUGGUUUUAGCACCAGGGGAUUCCUUGGCCAGGCGUUCUUUGAGAUCCGCCCAGGUGAUUUCUCCAGAGCAGCUGGGGUCCAGAACACUGGCCUGGACACCUCCACCACCUUGCGCAGCACACUACGGCCCUAGCCUACCCCCAACUAUUUCCCUUGACAAAGAUGAAGAGCUUCAGAGGCACCAAGCUCAACGGUUACUUCUUAAAUUAACAGACACAAGUCCCCACGGCGCCCCCUCUCCCAGGGCUGUCCCCUGUGGCAGGGGCCUCCUGAGCUGGGCCUACUGCUGGUGUUCACCACUAACCCUGGCUGUCUCUGAGAUGGUCCUUCCAGAAACUGCCACGGCUGUCAGGGCUCAGGAACCUGCUACUGCCUCCCCACCCUGGAUGCCAUUUCCCCUCCUGAACUGGAGGCUUUAGGAUGCACCUGCUGGGCGGGGGCAGCCCGGCUCAGGAGGCCUUAUCCUGGGGCUGCAUGGUUAGGAGGCAGCUGCUUUCUCAUAGCGGGCCACGGAAACUCCUCCGCCUCGACAGUCGGGGUACCAUCCAGGGGGCUGGGCUGAGGGACAGGGCGCCCAGCUGAAGGCAGCCCUCUGAGUGCGAACCUCGAGCUCGAGCCACUGUGGUCGGCAGGUUUGGAGUGGCUGGCCCCAGACACCGGGCUUUACCGAGGUCAAGGCAGCCAAGACCGUCACCAUCUCCAGGGCCUGCCAGGGACCUACGUGGGAGAGCAAGCAGGAAGCUGAGCCCAGGCUGCAGAAGGCCCAGUGGGGGAUAAUGGCCUCGACUGAGAAGGAGACUCAACUCAGAACAGCGUGGUGCACAGCGGGCAGGGAUUACUAAGGCCUGGGUGCCCCGGGCCCCUCAGGAAGCGAACACUGGCAGCACGUGGGGGCAGCACACGUGUCUUUUCCAGGUCUGAUCAUUUUAUGGCCUGGCCGUUCCUUCCCGCUACCAGACGAUGCCCCUGCCUUCCAUCCUCACGUUCUACUUGAGAUGAUGAAUGGAGAUCUGUUUGAAGAUGGAGGAGAACGAAAAGGAGGAGAAAAGGAUUCAAGAGAAAAUGAGCUUGCCUCACGGCAUUUUCCUUCGUGCAGAUUUCCUGCGGGAUGUGUGUUGAGCAUAGAAGCGUGUGUAGAGGUAUUGACUGGACCGGCAGCUUUAGCCACGACGUCAUAUUUCAUCUAGUCCCAACCUUUUCAGGGUGCUCAGCAGACCUGUGCUGGCGUCAACCCUGGAUGUCUGCCAUGGCGUGGGUAGAGGAGACACCGCACCUGUGCUCUGCAGCUGCCUCUCCCACCUGUGUCACGGCACAUGGGCUUCGGGGAACAGAGCACUGUCAUCUUUCUCCAGCAAAACAGCUGCCAGUCUGAACACUGAUUUCCCAGAAGGUCACACAAGGACUCAUGAGCUCGUGUCUGGCCCUGGUUCAAAGGAAAGUUGUUCUGUGAGUCUGGUGCUCUGGAACCAGGCCUAGGCAGCGUUCCCUGGGUGCCACGGCAGUCAUUAGGGAAGCAGAACACCCCCAGGGCCUCGUGGUUGCACUAGGGAACAAAGGGUGUGUGGUUUCUCCCCACCUGUUUGUCUCUCUCUCCCUCCCACUCUUGACUCAAAAACUUAGGUCAAACCAGAGAGCUGAGAACAUCUUCCCACCAGCCCCCAUCCUCUUUGCUAAAAGCCUGCAGUGUAGCUGAAAGCAGCCUGGAGUGAGGAUCUGGCCGGUGGAGGCUGUCCUCUUGGUAGAGAACUUGAGUGCCAGGCAGGGACCCCGAGGCCGCGGGCUUGGCCCUGCUAUGAGAACGGUCAGACCUGCACCCGAAAGCACGUGGCUUCCCCUGGUGCCCCCUCCUGGAUCUUCCUGGAAGCAGCAGCUCUGCCCAGCACCCUGUCCGCUGGGCCUGGCUCUGAGCCUGGUGCUGGCUUUGCACGUGGCCGCCUCACUUGCAGGAACCAUCUCUGUUGCCUUUAGGAAUUAAGCAGCUUAGCCCACACC
ensembl:lncRNA